GUGCCAGCCGCCGCGGUAAUACGGAGGAUGCGAGCGUUAUCCGGAUUUAUUGGGUUUAAAGGGUGCGCAGGCGGAAAGUGCAAGUCAGCGGUCAAACGACGGGGCUCAACCCCGUCUCGCCGUUGAAACUGUCUUUCUAGAGUGAGCGAGAAGUAUGCGGAAUGCGUGGUGUAGCGGUGAAAUGCAUAGAUAUCACGCAGAACUCCGAUUGCGAAGGCAGCAUACCGGCGCUCAACUGACGCUCAUGCACGAAAGCGUGGGUAUCGAACAGGAUUAGAUACCCUGGUAGUCCACGCAGUAAACGAUGAAUACUAAUUGUCCGGGCAGAGCGAUGCCUGGGUGAUACAGCGAAAGCGUUAAGUAUUCCACCUGGGGAGUACGCCGGCAACGGUGAA
rnacentral:rRNA from 1 species